rnacentral:rRNA from 1 species
GUGGGGAAUCUUGCGCAAUGGGCGAAAGCCUGACGCAGCCAUGACGCGUGAAUGAUGAAGGUCUUAGGAUUGUAAAAUUCUUUCACCGGGGACGAUAAUGACGGUACCCGGAGAAGAAGCCCCGGCUAACUUCGUGCCAGCAGCCGCGGUAAUACGAAGGGGGCUAGCGUUGCUCGGAAUUACUGGGCGUAAAGGGCGCGUAGGCGGACAGUUUAGUCAGAGGUGAAAGCCCAGGGCUCAACCUUGGAAUUGCCUUUGAUACUGGCUGUCUUGAGUACGGGAGAGGUGAGUGGAACUCCGAGUGUAGAGGUGAAAUUCGUAGAUAUUCGGAAGAACACCAGUGGCGAAGGCGACUCACUGGCCCGUUACUGACGCUGAGGCGCGAAAGCGUGGGGAGCAAACAGGAUUAGAUACCCUGGUAGUCC